CUACGGGUCGCACCAGUAGGGAAUAUUGGACAAUGGGCGAAAGCCUGAUCCAGCCAUGCCGCGUGAGUGACGAAGGCCUUAGGGUUGUAAAGCUCUUUUGGCGGGGAAGAUAAUGACGGUACCCGCAGAAUAAGCUCCGGCUAACUUCGUGCCAGCAGCCGCGGUAAUACGAAGGGAGCUAGCGUUGUUCGGAAUCACUGGGCGUAAAGCGCACGUAGGCGGAUCGUUAAGUCGAGGGUGAAAUCCCGGGGCUCAACCUCGGAACUGCCUUCGAUACUGGCGAUCUUGAGUCCGGGAGAGGUGGGUGGAAUUCCUAGUGUAGAGGUGAAAUUCGUAGAUAUUAGGAAGAACACCAGUGGCGAAGGCGGCCCACUGGCCCGAGACUGACGCUGAGGUGCGAAAGCGUGGGGAGCAAACAGGAUUAGAUACCCCUGUAGUC
rnacentral:rRNA from 1 species